UAAAGAAUUUCGGUUAUCGAUGGGGAUGCGUUCCAUUAGUUAGUUGGCGGGGUAACGGCCCACCAAGACGACGAUGGAUAGGGGUUCUGAGAGGAAGGUCCCCCACAUUGGAACUGAGACACGGUCCAAACUCCUACGGGAGGCAGCAGUGAGGAAUAUUGGUCAAUGGACGAGAGUCUGAACCAGCCAAGUAGCGUGAAGGAUGACUGCCCUAUGGGUUGUAAACUUCUUUUAUAUGGGAAUAAAACAGGGUAUGCAUACCCUCUUGUAUGUACCAUAUGAAUAAGGAUCGGCUAACUCCGUGCCAGCAGCCGCGGUAAUACGGAGGAUCCGAGCGUUAUCCGGAUUUAUUGGGUUUAAAGGGAGCGUAGGUGGAUUGUUAAGUCAGUUGUGAAAGUUUGCGGCUCAACCGUAAAAUUGCAGUUGAAACUGGCAGUCUUGAGUACAGUAGAGGUGGGCGGAAUUCGUGGUGUAGCGGUGAAAUGCUUAGAUAUCACGAAGAACUCCGAUUGCGAAGGCAGCUCACUGGACUGCAACUGACACUGAUGCUCGAAAGUGUGGGUAUCAAACAGGAUUAGAUACCCUGGUAGUCCACACACUAAACGAUGAAUACUCGCUGUUUGCGAUAUACAGUAA
rnacentral:rRNA from 1 species